GGGUUUACCGACCAGUUGGGAUGAAGAAGAGCUGGAAACCCGUAGGUCGCAGGUUCAAAUCCUGCCGGUCCCACCA
rnacentral:tRNA from 2 species